rnacentral:rRNA from 1 species
AUUGAACGCUGGCGGCAGGCCUAACACAUGCAAGUCGAACGGUAACAGGAAGAAGCUUGCUUCUUUGCUGACGAGUGGCGGACGGGUGAGUAAUGUCUGGGAAACUGCCUGAUGGAGGGGGAUAACUACUGGAAACGGUAGCUAAUACCGCAUAACGUCGCAAGACCAAAGAGGGGGACCUUCGGGCCUCUUGCCAUCGGAUGUGCCCAGAUGGGAUUAGCUAGUAGGUGGGGUAACGGCUCACCUAGGCGACGAUCCCUAGCUGGUCUGAGAGGAUGACCAGCCACACUGGAACUGAGACACGGUCCAGACUCCUACGGGAGGCAGCAGUGGGGAAUAUUGCACAAUGGGCGCAAGCCUGAUGCAGCCAUGCCGCGUGAUGAAGAAGGCCUUCGGGUUGUAAAGUACUUUCAGCGGGGAGGAAGGGAGUAAAGUUAAUACCUUUGCUCAUUGACGUUACCCGCAGAAGAAACACCGGCUAACUCCGU